rnacentral:rRNA from 1 species
GACGAACGCUGGCGGCGUGCUUAACACAUGCAAGUCGAACGGUAAGGCCCUUCGGGGUACACGAGUGGCGAACGGGUGAGUAACACGUGGGUGAUCUGCCCUGCACUUCGGGAUAAGCCUGGGAAACUGGGUCUAAUACCGGAUAGGACCCUGGGAUGCAUGUCCUGGGGUGGAAAGCUUUUGCGGUGUGGGAUGGGCCCGCGGCCUAUCAGCUUGUUGGUGGGGUGAUGGCCUACCAAGGCGACGACGGGUAGCCGGCCUGAGAGGGUGACCGGCCACACUGGGACUGAGGUACGGCCAGACUCCUACGGGAGGCAGCAGUGGGGAAUAUUGCACAAUGGGCGCAAGCCUGAUGCAGCGACGCCGCGUGAGGGAUGACGGCCUUCGGGUUGUAAACCUCUUUCAGCACCGACGAAGCGCAAGUGACGGUAGGUGCAGAAGAAGGACCGGCCAACUACGUGCCAGCCGCCGCAGUAA